rnacentral:rRNA from 1 species
UCCUAAAACAUGCAAGUCGAGCGCCCUCUUCGGAGGGAGCGGCGGACGGGUUAGUAACGCGUGGGAACGUGCCCAGAUCUAAGGAAUAGCCACUGGAAACGGUGAGUAAUACCUUAUACGCCCUUCGGGGGAAAGAUUUAUCGGAUUUGGAUCGGCCCGCGUUAAAUUAAAUAGUUGGUGGGGUAACGGCCUAACCAGUCUACGAUCUAUAGCUGGUUUUAAAGGAUGAUUCACAACACUGGGAAUUGAAAAACGGCCCAGACUCCUACCGGAAGCAGCAGUGGGGAAUCUUGGACAAUGGGGCGCAAGCCUGAUCCAGCCAUGCCCCGUGAGUGAUGAAGGCCCUACGGUCGUAAAGCUCUUUCACCUGUGAAGAUAAUGACGGUAACAGGUAAAGAGACCCCGGCUAACUCCGUGCCCGCAGCCGCGGUAAUUCGGAGGACUCUUAGC